GGACCAGUCGCCUAGCCAGGAUAGGGCGCCGGCCUUCUAAGCCGGAGAUCGAGAGUUCAAAUCUCUCCUGGUCCGCCA
rnacentral:tRNA from 2 species